rnacentral:rRNA from 1 species
GGGCUGACGCCUGCCCGGUGCUGGAAGGUUAAGAGGAUCAGUUAGCGUAAGCGAAGCUGAGAAUUGAAGCCCCAGUAAACGGCGGCCGUAACUAUAACGGUCCUAAGGUAGCGAAAUUCCUUGUCGGGUAAGUUCCGACCCGCACGAAAGGCGUAAUGAUUUGGGCACUGUCUCAACGAGAGACUCGGUGAAAUUAUAAUACCCGUGAAGAUGCGGGUUACCCGCGACAGGACGGAAAGACCCCAUGGAGCUUUACUGUAGCUUGAUAUUGAGUUUUUGUGUGACAUGUACAGGAUAGGUAGGAGCCGUUGAAAUCGGAACGCUAGUUUCGAUUGAGGCAUUGGUGGGAUACUACCCUUGUUAUAUGAAAACUCUAACCUACACCAUUUAGCGUGGUGAGGGACAGUGUCUGGUGGGCAGUUUGACUGGGGCGGUCGCCUCCUAAAAUGUAACGGAGGCGCUCAAAGGUUCUCUCAGAAUGGUUGGAAAUCAUUCAUAGAGUGUAAAGGCACAAGAGAGCUUGACUGCGAGACUGACAAGUCGAGCAGGGACGAAAGUCGGACUUAGUGAUCCGGUGGUACCAUAUGGAAGGGCCAUCGCUCAACGGAUAAAAGCUACCCUGGGGAUAACAGGCUUAUCUCCCCCAAGAGUUCACAUCGACGGGAGGUUUGGCACCUCGAUGUCGGCUCAUCGCAUCCUGGGGCUGUAGUCGGUCCCAAGGGUUGGGCUGUUCGCCCAUUAAAGCGGUACGCGAGCUGGGUUCAGAACGUCGUGAGACAGUUCGGUCCCUAUCCGUCGCGGGCGUAGGAAAUUUGAGAGGAGCUGUCCUUAGUACGAGAGGACCGGGAUGGACAUACCUCUGGUGUACCAGUUGUGCCGCCAGGCGCAUCGCUGGGUAGCUACGUAUGGAAGGGAUAAACGCUGAAAGCAUCUAAGUGUGAAGCCCCCCUCGAGAUGAGAUUUCCCAUUCCUUUAUGGAAGUAAGAUCCGUUAGAGAUUAUGACGUAGAUAGGCUGCGGGUGGAAGUGUAGCGAUACAUGGAGCUGAGCAGUACUAAUAGAUCGAGGACUUAACCG